AUUAAAACAAAUCACAUUACAACGAAUCAUCCCAUUCUCACUAACAUUGAAACUAAAAUCAUCUCUAUGACACAUAAAAAACAAACCAACAAUAUCAACCCCUUCAUACACUUUUCCAUAAACAACACUGAUUUUUGUAUCUUAACUAUCAUUUUCCUAGUACUCUCCAAUUCUUCACUGCUGACCAAAGUUUCUUUCUUCCCUUCGCUCUUGACGUAACGACCACUAUCCUCACUUCCAACAUCUGUGCACCAUUUGAAGAAGUUACAACCAGCAUCUUCAACACCAUUCUGCAAACACAUUUGAAGAAGUUGCCUUAAUCUCAGAAACAGUACUUUAAAUGGAACGUAUAGGUUGAAUAUGACAUACCUUAUACUUGGAGCAUCCCAAAAAAUGUUUGCCUCGAUUCUUCAUAGUGUUCGCAGUUCUCAUCACAGAUCUUUGUCCACAAUGGCAAAUAGGGGUUUUGUUCCUUCUGCAUGUCGACGAACAGCAAGAGUACUCCUUUGACAUCCUCUUCGAAGAACAACGACAAUAAACUUGAUCCCCACCACACCCAACCUUGAUCUCGCAAAAUGUUAUGAACCAACACCCUUCGAAGAAGAACCACCACCCUUUAUCACCUUCAGCUUCAACUUAGAACCCUUAUCCCAAUUUCCACAAUUGCCGACCACACUAAGCCACGAACCCUAUUUCCCCAAUUUCCAAAACCCCCAAUUUCGCAAACCCCCUAUUUCCCCAAAUUCCCAAACCUAAGUUUCCCCAAUUUUAAUCACCUCAUAUCACUUUACCCUGACUUACUCACAUGUGUUUUUACGCACAUGUUUUUUUUAAUUUAAAUUCCUCAUUUUACCCUCACUUAACCUUUAAGCAC
rnacentral:lncRNA from 1 species